AAACCCGCCCACCCACUCAAAUCCCGUCCGCUGCUGCGGGAACAGAUUUAAAUCAUGGUGAAAAAGUGAAUAAAUCCUCCGUGCGGACUUUCACACGGUUCGGUUCGAACGGUUCUAACUUUCUAAAUUUAAUAGAGGACAGGUUAGUUAAGUCGGGCCUGGUACUGAAUGAGACCAACAUCGGGUUUCAUUCGGAAUUAACAAAACUUCUUGCGUGUUUAAAUAUCCCUAAAAUAACAGCGCUCCAGUGAAAAGCAGGGCUCAGACUGAGAUGAUCAUGGAAAACCUCCCAAAAAUGAACCAGAUGAACUGAAGAAUGCCUCAGACAAAGCAAAAGAAGACAAAUUGCUCCUUCAGGACGGAAGAAAUGUUCCUUCCAUGUGAGAUCACUGAAUCAAAACUUCUGCCGUCUCUAAUAAAGUGGCAGUAAACUCCUGAAUGCUGAAGAUCUGAGAUUAGAAACCGAAGCAGAGGAGUUGAGAGACGACCAGAAAGCCGUUGGGUGCAGCUUGCAUCCUGAAAGUAGCGACGAGGCAGAUGAUGAGCCUGGCGCAGGAGGAGCAGCAGACUCUUUGGUUGAGCUUCAAGGAUGCGAGCCAAGGACUUUGUGUCAGCUGGCCCAGCAUCCACGGGAGGAAGUCGGGCUUCAGACACGGUGGUCCCACGCCUACAGCAGUCACGCACACCCACUGUCAACACCAAGCCGACGCACGCACACAUUCUGCAGCGCGCGGGGAACGAUGACAGUCGUGAUUUACGUGGGCUCGUGGAGCCCAGCAGACAGGACGGCAGUCAGCAGUUCUCCUCCUGUCACUGGCACCGCCGUCAGAGAACCAAACGAACGGGGAUCAGACCUCUCAGGAUGCGACGAGGACCCUCGUGCCUUCAUCUGCGGCAGGAUAAUUCUGCGCAGCUGUACGUGCGCGGAGAUUUACAGCGCAACGGCCCUUCAGGUUCACAGCAGCAUUUUCACAACACUUUUGGGAUUCAUUAGCUUCAGUCACAGCACAAGUAGGGGAUGGAGUAUGGCAGCCCACACAAAGCCACUUCCACCAAAAACACUUACCGGAAAAUUACUUGGUGAUGGCUACACUGGUUUAAUUCCAGCUUCAGUUCAUCUAUUCGCUUCUUUUUACUUUACAUUAAAAUGGUUUAUGUCAAAAUGAGCAUCUUAUAAGUGGAAGCAAUAUUUUGGAGGAAUAAAUAUUUCCCAAAUCUUUGGUGACGUUGCCUUAAUGCAGAUUCGGUGCUUUGAAAGCAUCGAUAGAAAACUAGGACCACAGCAGAUGUACAGUACGCUGCUAUCACACUUUAUUAAAAAUAGAAACAUAUAUUCAUAGCACUUUUCAUAGACUACAAUGGUCCACUGGUAUUCUUGAGUUACAUACUAUAAAACACUCAUUUGUCCUAAAUCCACUGUAGAAAUAACCUUUAAAAUCAGACAAACAAAAUAAUAAGGAAGCCUAAAUUAAGCUCCGUGUUUCUGAGCUCGUGUGACGUCAUCCUCCCCGUGACCUUUGAUCAAAUAAAUCUUUAUGGAGAGAAGAAAAUGUAAAAUGGAGGAACAAAACAAGACAAAUGUGUUGCUGUGAAAUAAAUGCACAUACAAUUGAGUUUAAAAAAAGAUGGCACAUUUAUUGCAACAUAAAUGUUAUAUACAUUGUAUUUUUCUGUUGAAAAAGACAGAAAAUUCAAAUUCUCAAUGUCGUGUUUCUCUUUUUUUUUGUGUGUAUCACAAUACCUUUUCUUUUGACACCAGAACAAAUGUUUUUUUUUUCUUUUAUUAAUCAGCAACUGAGAUUGAGUAAGAGGUUUUUACGAAUCUGGAGCUCAAAGCUUUUUAAAAUUCUA